rnacentral:rRNA from 1 species
UGCCCAAGAGAUCGGGAUAACACCUGGAAACAGAUGCUAAUACCGGAUAACAACAGAUGAUGCCUAUCAACUGUUUAAAAGAUGGUUCUGCUAUCACUCUUGGAUGGACCUGCGGUGCAUUAGCUAGUUGGUAGGGUAACGGCCUACCAAGGCGAUGAUGCAUAGCCGAGUUGAGAGACUGAUCGGCCACAUUGGGACUGAGACACGGCCCAAACUCCUACGGGAGGCAGCAGCU